CCUACGGGAGGCAGCAGUGGGGAAUUUUGGACAAUGGGCGCAAGCCUGAUCCAGCAAUGCCGCGUGCAGGAUGAAGGCCUUCGGGUUGUAAACUGCUUUUGUACGGAACGAAACGGUCUACCCUAAUACGGUGGGCUAAUGACGGUACCGUAAGAAUAAGCACCGGCAACUACGUGCCAGCAGCCGCGGUUAA
rnacentral:rRNA from 1 species